rnacentral:rRNA from 1 species
GGGGGGGGGGGCGUGCCUACCAUGCAAGUCGAACGGGGCGCGCAGGCUGAGGCUUUUCGGAGCGGAAGCCUGCGCUGCCCAGUGGCGGACGGGUGAGUAACGCGUGGGCAACCUGCCCAGCACUGGGGGACAACAGCCGGAAACGGCUGCUAAUACCGCAUAUGCCCGCAGCCCCGCAUGGGGCGGCGGGGGAAGCUCCGGCGGUGCAGGAUGGGCCCGCGUCUGAUUAGCUGGUUGGCGGGGCAACGGCCCACCAAGGCGACGAUCAGUAGCCGGCCUGAGAGGGUGGGCGGCCACAUUGGGACUGAGACACGGCCCAGACUCCUACGGGAGGCAGCAGUGGGGGAUAUUGCACAAUGGGGGGAACCCUGAUGCAGCGACGCCGCGUGGGCGAUGGAGUGCUUCGGCAUGUAAAGCCCUAUCAGCAGGGAAGAAAAUGACGGUACCUGACUAAGAAGCCCCGGCUAAAUACGUGCCAGCAGCCGCGGUAAUACGUAUGGGGCAAGCGUUAUCCGGAUUUACUGGGUGUAAAGGGAGCGUAGGCGGCCUGGCAAGCCUGAUGUGAAAUACCGGGGCCCAACCCCGGGGCUGCAUUGGGAACUGCCAGGCUGGAGUGCCGGAGAGGCAGGCGGAAUUCCUAGUGUAGCGGUGAAAUGCGUAGAUAUUAGGAGGAACACCAGUGGCGAAGGCGGCCUGCUGGACGGUGACUGACGCUGAGGCUCGAAAGCGUGGGGAGCAAACAGGAUUAGA